rnacentral:lncRNA from 1 species
ACCUGGUUUGUUGUUUUUAUCCAGCUACUUAAAAAUGUCUCCUUCACGUGGACCAGAAUUAAGUCAACUAUAUUUUUUCUCUGAACAGACUGCAUCUGACAAGAACAAGGAAAGUGAAUCAGUAGUUGAAUUCAGAAAUCUAAGCUAAAAGGUGACUUUGAAGAAGAAGAAGAUAAACUUUCCACACUGAUGAUGGAUUCUUUUUUCUGCUAUUUUGAUUAAAAAUGAAGCUGAAAAUCUUUUAAAGCUUUAGAGCCAGAAUUCCUGCAGCAAACAAGAGAAUGGGAAGAGCAUCAGGUAGCGGUGUGAACUUCUGCAUUGUCUUGAAUAUGUGCUGCUCUGUGGAAGAACCGUUUUUAGAAAAUUUGUCCAGGAGACCUACAAUAAAGGAACAAUGCAUUCAGCUGAGGGGUGAUGCAGAGAACACUGUACAGAGAUGCACCUUUUCUUUUGUGAGAAUAGGUAGGCACCAGAGGGAGAAGAUGGAUGGAAGAUAGGGUGCAUUACAAAGGCUGUUCAAGGUUUGGAAAUUAAAGAUGUUUGAUGGGUCACUUCGUGUUCUCCCUUUCCUCUUGUGAUGCGUGUCCACCCUCAAACUGUGCAGCCAGAUGUCACCCCGGGCAUGGUCUACCAUUAUUUCAAACUGCAGACAUAGAAGGUAUUACCUCAUAUCUUCAGGAAAAUUAAUGUAUUAAGCUAAUUAAAUAACUGCUUCUGUGCUUGUCAAAAUAUUAUAUUUAUACAUGAGAAUUAUUCUUCCAAAUUAUUGAAAAUAAUUUCACUGAAUUAAUGCAAUAUGCCAUUUAGAUUCCUGGCAUAUAAUGCCUGUUUCGACACUAAUACUUAGGGAAAAAUUUAAUCUACUCAGUUCUUUUCUGACAUCUCUGUAGAAGACAAGGCGAGGAUCAAUGCAUGCAUAGCCUUUCAUUUUUCCCAAUUUUAUGUAAAUUAAAGGGCAAAAAAUGAGCACCAUUUUAUUCCAUUAUGCCUACUACAAUCACUGGUUCAUUUUCCUUGUUGCAGCCUACUUGAUGCACUUGUUUUUCCUUUUUUUGGAAGUAUCGCUUUCCCAAGUUUAAUCACCCAGAUACUCAAGUUUUAGCUGAGUACACAGAGAAGUGUACGUAUUUUUAGCUACUUAAAAGAGAACCAACAGGAAUAUUCACUAGGCUCCAAAAGUAGUACCUGAAAAGGAAAUAAAUCUUUUAGCAAAAACA